CAACUGAUGUAGCCUAGUGGUUAGGGUGUAGGGCUGCAAUACAGGUGACCAAGGUUCAAGUCCCCAGUCAGUUGU